rnacentral:rRNA from 1 species
AACGAACGCUGGCGGCGUGCCUAACACAUGCAAGUCGAGCGCGAAUGGAGCAAUCCUAGUAGAGCGGCGCACGGGUGCGUAACACGUGGUAAUCUGCCCUGAAGCUCGGGAUGACCUGCCGAAAGGCAAGCUAAUACCGGAUAAGCCCACGGUCCCCUCGGGGACUGAAGGAAAAGGUGGCCUCUGCAUGCAAGCUAUCACUUCAGGAUGAGCCCGCGGCCCAUCAGCUCGUUGGCGGGGUAACGGCCCACCAAGGCGACGACGGGUAGCUGGUCUGAGAGGACGAUCAGCCACACUGGAACUGAGACACGGUCCAGACUCCUACGGGAGGCAGCAGUGGGGAAUUUUGCGCAAUGGGCGAAAGCCUGACGCAGCAACGCCGCGUGUGUGAUGAAGGUCUUCGGAUUGUAAAGCACUUUCGACCGGGACGAAAACCUGCUGGCCAAUAUCCAGCAGCUUGACGGUACCGGGAGAAGAAGCACCGGCUAACUCUGUGCCAGCAGCCGCAGUAAAAC